GGUAAAAUUAGUGCUGAGUGUCGGACGAGACGCCGUCUGUGACGAGGCCCAUUCACGAGCUCGCUGCUGCCGCAUCACCGCUCCAUCACGCUGCCAACACUUAUGACAUUCCAUGUGCGAAUAUGUCGCCCGGUGACGCUGCUCUGGCCAUCGACCACCGCCGCACUGCCAGGGUUAGCCUUCGUCCAUAAUUUGUGAGGAACGUGUUUACAAGGCUCGGAGGGUCCUUGAUAUUUCAGGCUGUAAUUCGCCCCUCGAGCCAUGGUUCGCUGCGGGAACAUCAAAGAGUUUCAGUUCAUGUUACCCUCAUUAAUGUUUGAGGAUUUAGUUUCAAAUAUAUUGUACCUAAUGGUUUUGGAAAGUAAACAAAGAAGGUCAAUUAAUAUAUUUGCCACAAAUAUUGAAAUAUUUUUUUUAUGUGCUUUGAUUCUUACUGACUUAAAUUCAAUAAAAUUAAAUUAGUCUAUAGACUACCUCUAGUA